rnacentral:lncRNA from 1 species
GUAGCAUCUCAAAUAUGCAAUAGAACUGUUUUGAAUUCUAUUUCACUCAUAAAACUUGAAGGUUGAGAACGAGAUUAUAUCGAUUAAAAACAUGAAAUCCCGAGGUCCCGAAUUUAUAGAAAUUUCAAUCCCGCCAUACCGAAAUUCGAAAAAAAGAAUAGCCGGAUCCAUAAAGGAUCAAUCCCGAAAUCCCGUGCUGAAAAACACGCGAUCCCGGAGUCCCGUUUAAGGUCCCCC